rnacentral:lncRNA from 1 species
UUGAUGCUCGUGACUUUGACCCAUACCAAGACCUUGGUCUUCAUUCCAUCUAUCCCAGUGAGCUUUCCCCUUGACAGAGUUCCUUUGACGCGAGUAGCAUACCGCAUAACAGAUGAAUCCUUGACGCAGACCUCACAGGCUGAUGGCAGGUAGACAAUGAGCUUUCCAUUCGACUGGUCAAACUCAUAGCAUAUUAUGUUUUGGGGAAAAAGACCAGGAGGCAGGUUGUAUUCUCGCAGGAGAUCCGGCAAAGAUUUUGUAGGCUUGCCUAGCAAAUUACAGAAUUAUCUGCAUCAGAUUAGGGUGCUAGAGGUUGCGGAGAAUAUGAACUAAAAAUUGCAUCCUUGAGAUAAAAUUAUAAACUCCAAUGGACAACUGCCUAUUCCACAUCCUUUAAUGCCAAAGCUAUCAUAUAUGGAUGCGAAUUAUGUCAACCCAAAAUGUAUUGGCCUCAGACCCCCUUAGGAUUCAACAACAAGUUAUAAUGUAACACACAAGUUAGCUGGAGUAAGCAGCAAUGUGCUGCAACAAGUUCAUGACAGCAAAUUUCAUCGUAUGAAUCAAUAUGGUGGUGCUAAAACAAGGCAAGGAUCCACAUUUUGGGACCAGAUUGUGCUAUGCAUUGAUGACUAGAUGCGGCACUGUUUUUUGAGGGAAUCCUUAUCCACUUUUUUGUUACACCCUCCCCCUCACGUGCUCACUCGUUUUCCGCUUUAUCUAUUAUUGAUUCGGUUUUUUAUUUUUUAAAUAUGUAAAAUCAAUAAGAUAUUUUCUUAUUGAUUUUCAAUUUGUCGGUUUUGAAUCAUUAACGGUUCAAUUUUCGGUUUCACCAGUAAGAAAAUACACAUAAAAUAGAAAUAGUAACAACUAACAUAAAAAAAAAAAUCUUAGUUAUCGUCAAAAUCCUACGCAAUGCAUUUUAGUUUACAAGAAUGUUCAGACUUGAAUUGAAUGUUAGUUUGAAAAAAAAUUGAAUCCUAAUUGUUGGAAGCUACUAAAUGCUUCAAGCUUUUCAAUACGAUAAUACUCGUGAUUUAUAUUGGGUUUUUGUUGCCCUGAAUAGGUUAAUAUUUUGUGAAUCACAGAACUGUGGAUAAGUAGUGUAUAUAACACACACACACAUAUAUAUUACAUAAAUAGGGGAAAAACAGUAAUUUAGUGUAUCUUAUUGGGUUAUUGGUUUAAUCAAUAACCCAAUAAACUAAAAUCGAAACCGAACCGUUUACCCAAUAAAUUUUUUUAUAAAAUUAAUAAAAAACCGUUAACCCAAUACCGAUAACCCAAUAACAUUUUUAUCAGUUCGGUUCGGUUCGAUUUUUGCACCCCCUCUACACUCGUUCCCCAUUUUAUUUUAUUUUUGGAGAUUUGGCGUUAUUUAACGCGCGACAAAAUUGAGAUUUUCACUCAGAUAAAUUUAAAAUAUGGAUAAAUUAAAGAGAAUUUAGUAUUUAUUAUAUAUUAUAGAUAAUAAUAUUUGCAUAAAAAAUAAUAAUUAAGAUCGAAAAAUAUUGCAAUAAUUUAUAGUAUUUGAUUUAAUAUAUGAGUAUUAUAAUUUUUAUGAUAAUUCUUGCUCGACUUGUAUUGGAAUUCAAAGAAUUUUUGGGAUUGAUUUUAGAUUUUCGUCUUUGACUUGAUUUAUAUUUGAACUUGGGUAGUUGAAUGUUUGAACUUAUUUGUGAGGUUUGAUGUGCAAGCUCUCUCUGAUUUUUUAUUAGAAUUCUGUGCUUCUUUUUUGUUUUAAAUUAUAGAGACCACUCUUUAUAGUUGUAGAAUGGAAAAAUUGUGAUGACGACGGACUUCUUUCGAUUAAUUGGAUUUACGUGAUAAGUCGAAUCAUGUCAUUCGUACACAGUGACACAUUUAUAUUGAUUUUUUAUUUCACUAGGCAGAUUGCCUCAUUUUGAUACAUGACAUUAUUCUAUUGGCGCUUUUCCUUAACUUGACAUGCCAUGUCAUUUGAUACGUGACACCAAGUUCGUCUCUAAUAUAAGAUGACAUUUUGAAAUUAACAAAGUGAACUUAUAAUUACUGAUUAAAAUUUAUAAAAAUUGAAGUUAUUUUGAGUUGUUAUGAGGAAUUUUUAAUUAGUUAAAAGGGUCUAUUUAGGAGUUCAUUUCCUCAACAAGAGCCUGCACAAGUGAUCCCACAAGCGGGUGAUGAAGACAGGAUGUAAACAGAUCUUACUUCUAUCUUUUCAGGAUAAAGAGGUUUGUUUAUGCUAAACCUCGGUUCAAGCGAAAUUUAACAUAUUAUCACGGUUCUAGAUCACAAACUUAACUACAAAAAUUUAAACGUGUUCAAUAAUAAUCUUACCUUGUGAUUAGCCAUUUUUCCAAAUUCUGUACAUAGCGAAAGCUUUAAUGUACCAACUGCACUUUUUAAUAAUCUUACUAGCCAUCAACUUAAUGAUCUAAUAUGUUGGAUGGAGAUAAAAGAUCACAAGGCAAAAAAGCAAUUACUGAGGGGGCUAAAAAUGUCUAGUAGAUGUAUCAUCUAUGAACAUGCACAUUGCUUGCUCUAUAAGUUGAAUAUACCAGUGAACUAAAUCAUAACAACAGCAGUUUAAGGACCAUUAAUCCAUCAUCAACUUCGCCAAAAAAUUUAAAAUUUGAUAUAUUUACGUUCUUUUUGUCGAAACCUCAAAAUUCUUCAACUUUAACAGCAUCACGAGGCAUUUCAUAUGCAUCUUUGGACCUUGAUUUCUUCACUCCGGCAUUGAACCACACCUUAUCGGACUUGUAGCUCUCAACGUUGAUGCUCGUGACUUUGACCCAUACCAAGACCUUGGUCUUCAUUCCAUCUAUCCCAGUGAGCUUUCCCCUUGACAGAGUUCCUUUGACGCGAGUAGCAUACCGCAUAACAGAUGAAUCCUUGACGCAGACCUCACAGGCUGAUGGCAGGUAGACAAUGAGCUUUCCAUUCGACUGGUCAAACUCAUAGCAUAUUAUGUUUUGGGGAAAAAGACCAGGAGGCAGGUUGUAUUCUCGCAGGAGAUCCGGCAAAGAUUUUGUAGGCUUGCCUAGCAAAUUACAGAAUUAUCUGCAUCAGAUUAGGGUGCUAGAGGUUGCGGAGAAUAUGAACUAAAAAUUGCAUCCUUGAGAUAAAAUUAUAAACUCCAAUGGACAACUGCCUAUUCCACAUCCUUUAAUGCCAAAGCUAUCAUAUAUGGAUGCGAAUUAUGUCAACCCAAAAUGUAUUGGCCUCAGACCCCCUUAGGAUUCAACAACAAGUUAUAAUGUAACACACAAGUUAGCUGGAGUAAGCAGCAAUGUGCUGCAACAAGUUCAUGACAGCAAAUUUCAUCGUAUGAAUCAAUAUGGUGGUGCUAAAACAAGGCAAGGAUCCACAUUUUGGGACCAGAUUGUGCUAUGCAUUGAUGACUAGAUGCGGCACUGUUUUUUGAGGGAAUGGAGGGGAAAGAGAAGCAGCAGUGACUAUUUAUCUCUAUAUAUGCAGAAGCAAAUAGAAGUGGCCACUGCUUAUUCUUAGUGGAAGUUAUUUUCUUUCAGAAUAAACCAUUUUUUGUCAUCCCUGAUAGCCAAAGACUUGAAUGUGAUACUUAAGACUUUUUUGAAGUUCAUAAAAACUGCUUAUUUAACUAUAUGAAUACAUAUGAAGUCAUAGGCGGACUUGGAAAUGCAGAGUUGAUUGAAGUAAACACAUAC